rnacentral:lncRNA from 1 species
AAAUCAGCGGGUUGCGCUGUUUGAGCAUAGCCAAAUAACUGCUGGCUCAGCGGGAUCGAUUAAGUGGCGUCGACUGGCCUUUGUUCCUUGGCAGGCGACGAACUGCUGACUCCUCGGAUUCCUCCUGGCUGAUGCAAUAGCGGUGGCCGGAUGUGGGUUGCAACAUCAGCGUACCUGUGGCUGACCGUUGGCUGUGUCGCCAAAGCCAAGCGUGAGCUACGGCUUUCUCGCC